GAUGAACGCUGGCGGCGUGCCUAAUACAUGCAAGUCGAGCGAACAGACGAGGAGCUUGCUCCUCUGACGUUAGCGGCGGACGGGUGAGUAACACGUGGAUAACCUACCUAUAAGACUGGGAUAACUUCGGGAAACCGGAGCUAAUACCGGAUAACAUUUUGAACCGCAUGGUUCAACAGUGAAAGACGGUCUUGCUGUCACUUAUAGAUGGAUCCGCGCCGCAUUAGCUAGUUGGUAAGGUAACGGCUUACCAAGGCAACGAUGCGUAGCCGACCUGAGAGGGUGAUCGGCAACACUGGAACUGAGACACGGUCCAGACUCCUACGGGAGGCAGCAGUAGGGAAUCUUCCGCAAUGGGCGAAAGCCUGACGGAGCAACGCCGCGUGAGUGAAGAAGGUCUUCGGAUCGUAAAACUCUGUUAUUAGGGAAGAACAAAUGUGUAAGUAACUAUGCACGUCUUGACGGUACCUAAUCAGAAAGCCACGGCUAACUACGUG
rnacentral:rRNA from 1 species